GCAGACGUGGCCGAGUGGUUAAGGCGAUGAACUUGAAAUCCAUUGGGGUCUCCCCGCACUGGUUCGAAUCCUGUCGACUGCG
rnacentral:tRNA from 1 species